CCUACGGGAGGCAGCAGUGGGGAAUUUUGGACAAUGGGGGCAACCCUGAUCCAGCAAUGCCGCGUGCAGGAAGAAGGCCUUCGGGUUGUAAACUGCUUUUGUCAGGGAAGAAAUCCUGUGGGUUAAUACCUCGUGGGGAUGACGGUACCUGAAGAAUAAGCACCGGCUAACUACGUGCCAGCAGCCGCGGUAAUACGUAGGGUGCGAGCGUUAAUCGGAAUUACUGGGCGUAAAGCGUGCGCAGGCGGUUUUGUAAGACAGAGGUGAAAUCCCCGGGCUCAACCUGGGAACUGCCUUUGUGACUGCAAGGCUGGAGUACGGCAGAGGGGGAUGGAAUUCCGCGUGUAGCAGUGAAAUGCGUAGAUAUGCGGAGGAACACCGAUGGCGAAGGCAAUCCCCUGGGCCUGUACUGACGCUCAUGCACGAAAGCGUGGGGAGCAAACAGGAUUAGAUACCCGGGUAGUCUA
rnacentral:rRNA from 1 species